AGAAUCUCGCGCAUUAUGCGUACUGCACCGCGCUGGUUCGCCAGUCAACGUGCAGGUUGUGGCAAGUGGCGAGGCCUUCCUGGAUUGCGACUUUCAACGAAGACGUUUACCCUGGACAGAAGCCUAGUCGUUGGUUAACCAACGACUUUAACGAGCCGCUCACGACUGAGUCCUUAUUUAUACUAGUACCUCACCAUAACUAUCCUUC
rnacentral:misc_RNA from 1 species